rnacentral:rRNA from 1 species
UGGGGAAUAUUGCACAAUGGACGAAAGUCUGAUGCAGCAACGCCGCGUGGAGGAUGACACAUUUCGGUGCGUAAACUCCUUUUAUAUAGGAAGAUAAUGACGGUACUAUAUGAAUAAGCACCGGCUAACUCCGUGCCAGCAGCCGCGGUAAUACGGAGGGUGCAAGCGUUACUCGGAAUCACUGGGCGUAAAGAGCGUGUAGGCGGGUAUAUAAGUCAGAAGUGAAAUCCAAUAGCUUAACUAUUGAACUGCUUUUGAAACUGUGUACCUAGAAUGUGGGAGAGGUAGAUGGAAUUUCUGGUGUAGGGGUAAAAUCCGUAGAGAUCAGAAGGAAUACCGAUUGCGAAGGCGAUCUACUGGAACAUUAUUGACGCUGAGGCAUGAAAGCGUGGGGAGCAAGCA